UUCCAAUUAUAAAUAUUAUAAAAAUAGAUUUACGCGACGACUGUAAACAGAUAAGGGUAAAUAACGCAAACGGUAGCCAAUAAAAGGGUUGAGAACUCAUGGUUUUGGCAUAUAAUUGGGUUUUCCUUUGAAUUAAUUGGGUUAUUGAACCCUGCAAUGGGCAAUUGCAUUGGGUUUUUUAUUAUUUGUAUUGCGUGAUCACGCAAAUACGCAGCUUAUCUGGAGCUCUGA
rnacentral:lncRNA from 1 species